UGAGGAAUAUUGGUCAAUGGGUGCAAGCCUGAACCAGCCAUCCCGCGUGAAGGACGACUGCCCUAUGGGUUGUGAACUUCUUUUGUAUAGGGAUAAACCUACCCUCGUGAGGGUAGCUGAAGGUACUAUACGAAUAAGCACCGGCUAACUCCGUGCCAGCAGCCGCGGUAAUACGGAGGGUGCAAGCGUUAUCCGGAUUUAUUGGGUUUAAAGGGUCCGUAGGCGGACUUAUAAGUCAGUGGUGAAAGCCUGUCGCUUAACGAUAGAACUGCCAUUGAUACUGUAAGUCUUGAGUAUAUUUGAGGUAGCUGGAAUAAGUAGUGUAGCGGUGAAAUGCAUAGAUAUUACUUAGAACACCAAUUGCGAAGGCAGGUUACCAAGAUAUAACUGACGCUGAGGGACGAAAGCGUGGGGAGCGAACA
rnacentral:rRNA from 1 species